rnacentral:rRNA from 1 species
AGCAGCCGCGGUAAUUCCAGCUCCAAUAGCGUAUAUUAAAGUUGUUGCAGUUAAAAAGCUCGUAGUUGAAUUUCGGGGUUAGCAGGUCGGUCGUGCCAUCGGUAUGAACUGGUCUCGCUGAUCCCUCCCUCUUGACGAACUGUGAUGCCAUUAAUUUGGUGUCGCAGGGAAUCAGGACUGUUACUUUGAAAAAAUUAGAGUGUUUAAAGCAGGCUCACGCUUGAAUACAUUAGCAUGGAAUAAUGAAAUAGGACGUUUGAUCCUAUUUUGUUGGUUUCUAGGAUUGACGUAAUGAUUAAUAGGGAUAGUUGGGGGCAUUAGUAUUCAAUUGUCAGAGGUGAAAUUCUUGGAUUUAUUGAAGACUAACUACUGCGAAAGCAUUUGCCAAGGAUGUUUUUCAUUAAUCAAGAACGAAAGUUAGGGGAUCGAAGACGAUCAGAUACCGUCGUAGUCUUAACCAUAAACUAUGCCGACUAGGGAUCGGAUGAUGUUAAUUUUUUUCAAUGACUCAUUCGGCCCC